UACGAAGGGGGCUAGCGUUGCUCGGAAUUACUGGGCGUAAAGCGCAUGUAGGCGGCGAUUCAAGUUAGAUGUGAAAGGCCUGGGCUCAACCCGGGAACUGCAUUUGAUACUGAAUUGCUAGAGUCCAAGAGAGGGUAGUGGAAUUCCCAGUGUAGAGGUGAAAUUCGUAGAUAUUGGGAAGAACACCAGUGGCGAAGGCGGCUACCUGGCUUGGUACUGACGCUCAGAUGCGAAAGCGUGGGGAGCAGACAGG
rnacentral:rRNA from 1 species